CAUGCAAGUCGAGUGCGCGGUUGUAGCAAUACAACUGGCGCACGGCGCACGGGUGCGUAACACGUGGGUAAUCUGCCCUCUGAUGGGGAAUAACUCGCCGAAAGGCGAGCUAAUUCCGCAUAAUAUUCCGAGAACCUCGGUUUUUGGACUGAAAGGCGUAAGUCGUCGGAGGAGGAGCCCGCGCACGAUUAGCUAGUUGGUAGGGUAAUGGCCUACCAAGGCUUUGAUCGUUAGCUGGUCUGAGAGGAUGGCCAGCCACACUGGAACUGAGACACGGUCCAGACUCCUACGGGAGGCAGCAGUGGGGAAUCUUGCACAAUGGGCGAAAGCCUGAUGCAGCGACGCCGCGUGGGGGAUGAAGCUUCUCGGAGUGUAAACCCCUUUCGAUCCGGACGAAUGCCUCGCAAGAGGAGUGACGGUACGGAUAUAAGAAGCCCCGGCUAACUACGUGCCAGCAGCCGCGGUAAGACGUAGGGGGCCAGCGUUGUUCGGAAUUACUGGGUGUAAAGGGUUCGUAGGCGGUGCGGCAAGUCGGGAGUGAAAUCUCUGGGCUCAACCCAGAGACUGCUUCCGAAACUGCUGUGCUUGAGUGUGGGAGAGGCGCGUGGAAUUGCAGGUGUAGCGGUGAAAUGCGUAGAUAUCUGCAGGAACACCCGUGGCGAAAGCGGCGCGCUGGACCACUACUGACGCUGAAGAACGAAAGCUAGGGGAGCAAACAGGAUUAGAUACCCUGGUAGUCCUAGCCCUAAACGAUCAGGAA
rnacentral:rRNA from 1 species